UACGUAGGGUGCAAGCGUUAAUCGGAAUUACUGGGCGUAAAGCGUGCGCAGGCGGUUGUGCAAGACCGAUGUGAAAUCCCCGGGCUUAACCUGGGAAUGGCAUUGGUGACUGCACGGCUAGAGUGUGUCAGAGGGGGGUAGAAUUCCACGUGUAGCAGUGAAAUGCGUAGAUAUGCGGAGGAACACCGAUGGCGAAGGCAAUCCCUUGGACCUGUACUGACGCUCAUGCACGAAAGCGUGGGGAGCAAACAGG
rnacentral:rRNA from 1 species